rnacentral:rRNA from 1 species
UACGGGGGGGGCGAAGCGUUGUUCGGAAUUACUGGGCGUAAAGGGCCAUAGGCGGCCAACUAAGUCGGAUGUGAAAUCCCCAGGCUCAACUUGGGAACUGCAUCCGAUACUUGGAUGGCUUGAAUUCGGGAGAGGGAUGCAGAAGUUCCAGGUGGUUAGGCGGUGGAAAUGACGUAGAUAUCUGGAGGAAUACCGGUGGCGAAGGCGGCAAUCCGUGGACCGACGAUUGACUGCUGAACGGCGAAAGCUAGGGGAGACAAACGGGGAUUAGAAU